rnacentral:rRNA from 1 species
GACGGAGGAGGCAAGCGUUAUCCGGAAUUAUUGGGCGUAAAGCGUCCGCAGGUGGCGAUUCAAGUCUGCUGUCAAAGGUCGGGGCUUAACCCCGGGAAGGCAGUGGAAACUGAAUAGCUAGAGUGCGGUAGGGGCAGAGGGAAUUCCCGGUGUAGCGGUGAAAUGCGUAGAGAUCGGGAAGAACACCAGUGGCGAAGGCGCUCUGCUGGGCCUGCACUGACAAUGAGGGACGAAAGAUAGGGGAGCGAAAGGG